rnacentral:rRNA from 1 species
UGCCAGACUCCUACGGGAGGCAGCAGUGGGGAAUAUUGGGCAAUGGGCGCAAGCCUGACCCAGCAACGCCGCGUGAAGGAAGAAGGCUUUCGGGUUGUAAACUUCUUUUAAGGGGGAAGAGCAGAAGACGGUACCCCUUGAAUAAGCCACGGCUAACUACGUGCCAGCAGCCGCGGUAAUACGUAGGUGGCGAGCGUUGUCCGGAAUUACUGGGUGUAAAGGGAGUGUAGGCGGGAAGGCAAGUCAGAAGUGAAAAUUAUGGGCUCAACCCAUAACCUGCUUUUGAAACUGUUUUUCUUGAGUGAAGCAGAGGCAAGCGGAAUUCCUAGUGUAGCGGUGAAAUGCGUAGAUAUUAGGAGGAACACCAGUGGCGAAGGCGGCUUGCUGGGCUUUUACUGACGCUGAGGCUCGAAAGCGUGGGGAGCAAACAGGAUUAGAUACCCGGGUACC